rnacentral:lncRNA from 1 species
CAGGUCUUCUGGAAACACAAAUACAACUCGGAAGACAGCAUUGUAAGUUUUUCUGCUGGGGAAAGUUUCCUCAGAGCUGGAAUGCCUGCAGACAGGAGUUCAGGUCACCCUCCACAUCUGUCACCAUUUGCUACACUUCUAAAGAAGAUCUCUGUAGAUCAUGUGCCAAUUUGUUGGGGGCAGCUAUCCAUCAAGGCAGAACCCAGAGUAUUCAUCUCGACACCUGGCAGCUGCCACCUACACAGAACAGACGCUGCCCUGAAGGAAUAUCAGUGACAACUCCUCUGAGAGAGCCACAGCACCCUGUGACAUGUGUGCAGACCGGGAGGGACUCCAAAGAGAGAAGGCCUGUGUGGGAUUUCUGUAAAUCUCACACCCAGCCUGCAUAUGUCUUGCACCCAAGAAGGACAGGGUGUCUCCAGAGACCCUGACUCCAUUUGACAAUAUCUUAAAUGUCA